rnacentral:rRNA from 1 species
AAUGAACGCUGGCGGUCUGCUUAACACAUGCAAGUCGAACGGAAUCCUUCGGGAUUUAGUGGCGGACGGGUGAGUAACGCGCGAGAAUCUGCCUUCAGGUUCGGGACAACAGCUGGAAACGGCUGCUAAUACCGGAUGUGCCGAGAGGUGAAAGCUUUAGUGCCUGAAGAUGAGCUCGCGUCUGAUUAGCUAGUAGGAGUGGUAAUGGCACCCCUAGGCGACGAUCAGUAGCUGGUCUGAGAGGAUGAUCAGCCACACUGGGACUGAGACACGGCCCAGACUCCUACGGGAGGCAGCAGCGGGGAAUUUUCCGCAAUGGGCGCAAGCCUGACGGAGCAAGACCGCGUGAGGGAAGAAGGUCUGUGGAUUGUAAACCUCUUUUGAUGGGGAAGAAGACAGUGACGGUACCCAUCGAAUCAGCCUCGGCUAACUCCGUGCCAGCCGCCGCGGUAA